UACGGGGGGGGGCACGCGUUGUUCGGAAUUACUGGGCGUAACGGGCGCGUAGGCGGUCAGAUAAGUCAGCUGUGAAAACCUCGGGCUUAACCCGAGGCCUGCAGUUGAAACUGUUUGGCUGGAGUGUGGGAGAGGAGAGUGGAAUUCCCGGUGUAGCGGUGAAAUGCGUAGAUAUCGGGAAGAACACCCGUGGCGAAGGCGGCUCUCUGGGACGGUACUGACGCUGAGACGCGAAAGCGUGGGGAGCGAACAGG
rnacentral:rRNA from 1 species